rnacentral:rRNA from 1 species
CAGCCAGGCUAACUCUGUGCCAGCAGCCGCGGAAAUACAGAGGGUGCAAGCGUAAUCGGAUUUACUGGGCGUAAAGCGCGCGUAGGCGGCUAAUUAAGUCAAAUGUGAAAUCCCCGAGCUUAACUUGGGAAUUGCAUUCGAUACUGGUUAGCUAGAGUGUGGGAGAGGAUGGUAGAAUUCCAGGUGUAGCGGUGAAAUGCGUAGAGAUCUGGAGGAAUACCGAUGGCGAAGGCAGCCAUCUGGCCUAACACUGACGCUGAGGUGCGAAAGCAUGGGGAGCAAACAGGAUUAGAUACCCUGGUAGUCCAUGCCGUAAACGAUGUCUACUAGCCGUUGGGGCCUUUGAGGCUUUAGUGGCGCAGCUAACGCGAUAAGUAGACCGCCUGGGGAGUACGGUCGCAAGACUAAAACUCAAAUGAAUUGACGGGGGCCCGCACAAGCGGUGGAGCAUGUGGUUUAAUUCGAUGCAACGCGAAGAACUUAACUGGCCUGACAUAGUAAGAACUUUC